rnacentral:rRNA from 1 species
AACGAACGCUGGCGGCAGGCUUAACACAUGCAAGUCGAGCGCCCCGCAAGGGGAGCGGCAGACGGGGGAGUAACGCGUGGGAACGUACCCUUUGCUACGGAAUAGCUCCGGGAAACUGGAAUUAAUACCGUAUGUGCCCUACGGGGGAAAGAUUUAUCGGCAAAGGAUCGGCCCGCGUUGGAUUAGCUAGUUGGUGGGGUAAUGGCCUACCAAGGCGACGAUCCAUAGCUGGUCUGAGAGGAUGAUCAGCCACAUUGGGACUGAGACACGGCCCAAACUCCUACGCGAGGCAGCGGUGGGGAAUAUUGGACAAUGGGCGCAAGCCUGAUCCAGCCAUGCCGCGUGAGUGAUGAAGGCCUUAGGGUUGUAAAGCUCUUUCACCGAUGAAGAUAAUGACGGUAGUCGGAGAAGAAGCCCCGGCUAACUUCGUGCCAGCCGCCGCCGUAAGAC